CUUUGUUAAAGGCUGAGUUCAUGGCUUUGUUUUGACAGGAUUCAUCUUGAAAGUAGGUCUACACAGGACCUUGUUAUGGAAAUUAAUCAGUGCAGGUCUCAGAUACAAGACACACAGGCCUAAGUAGGCUUCUAGAAAAAUGGUGAAGUACAAAGAACCAGGUAGAUAUGGGUUUUCCUCCCAUCUGAGAAUCAGACGGCAGUGCAGGCUGCAGGAAGCAAGGCAAUUCACAGCUCUUUGGGAAUCAGCAGUCAAUGACCUCUCCCGCUUGGAAGUACACACUUCACACAUCAUCGUUGCUUGUCCUAUCAGAAAUGAGUCCCAUUUAUUUAUCCUUCCAAGAGUCCACUACCAGAAAUUUAAUGAGUAUGCUCUUCCAGAUGAUGACAUCCAGUGGAUUUCUUAUUUUCCCAGCAAGAAUUUUUGUGCUUCUCAUUCCCCGAGUGCAGGUAGGUCAUAUAGCCAAAUACACAUUGUUCUGCUUCAGACUAAAGACUGCUUUCUAAGUUUUGCUUUGUAAAGGUAUUGUUAUUACAUCUUUUCAUUCUAAGCUUUCCUGUGUCUUCUGUCUACACCAUAGCUGUUUUUUCACCCUGAUUUGUUUUAAACAGCCUUAUGAUAAGCCAGUAUAGCAGCUGUCAAAGGGUUAAUGUUUUUCCUUCUGCAGUGUGUAACAGAAGAACAAGAGAAAACAAGAAACCCACAGGAGAACCUUUGGGUUCAGCACAUAAACAAGAAAACAAAUAGAGAAGUAAAUGGCAGUGCAAAAAUUUCAGCCAAGCUUCCACUGUUCUCCAGGGCAGUUACAACUCAGCUGGAAAAAUACAGGCAAACAUUCUCAUGCAGAGCAGCCGUAUUGGUGAUAGAUAUGUGGAGCAUUGGACUAGUCAUUUACAAAUCUACCUUCAUGUAUGAUUCUUUGGGGGAUUUGCUGAAUUGAUUUUAAUUACUUGCUAUUUUUUGCUUGAGAUACCUACCAGCAGUAAUUCACAAAUAUAUUUCAAUUCAGAAGACAAAGAGAGUAGGUCAUUUACAUAUUUUUUUCUACCAACACUCUGCUUGGACUGACAGCCUCAAGAACUGUGUGGAGAAGUGAUAGCUUAGAUUAGGCCAGCUGAUACAGGUGGAAAAAUCAAGCGAGCUUUCUGCCAUAUAGUCCCUUCAUCAAACUGAAUGCUAUGUUUAUUAUUGCAUUACUGCAAUGUAAUACUACUGUAAGUCUGUAGAAAUCAAUAGAGUUCCACUGGUGUAAUAUUAGGGUAACCUAGCAGUAAAUCAAUCCAUGAAUUGUUGUGGUUGAUGAGUGCUGAAGCUGAGCUUCAUUUCCUGCAAAGGUCAGAGUGAUGGAUUUGUCAUCAAAUUUCACCUCCCCUGCUGCAUGUUUAUUUAUAAAUGGCCUUUCAUAAAACAGCAAAAUAAGGCAUAUUUUAUCAUUCCACAUAAGUUAGAGCUUUUCUGAAUUGAGACAAGAUGACAAAUGAGGUCCUUGAACCUCCUGGAUUUGACAAAAAGGCUUUGUC
rnacentral:lncRNA from 1 species